AGAGAGAGAGAGAGAGAGAGAGAGAGAGAGAGAGAGAGAGAGAGAGAGAGAGAGAGAGAGAGUGGGAUGAGAGAAUUCGAUGGAAAGAGGAACGUCGAGUGGUUCCCAGAACCAGUAUUUGCUCGUUCGCGUUUAAUAUCGAAAUCGUUGAAUCAUACGCGGAUGUAACGAAAUGCUCGAAUUAUUUGUGAGAGUGACGAAAACGUGGGAUGAGUGGGCAGCGAACCAUUUUCACUGAACUCACAGCGGUACCCACGGUUUAUUCUCAAUCAUUACGCUUGUUGCCGUAGUCAUAUCUUUUACAUGAAUGAUUACAUACAAUUAAACGUGUGAUUAGUUACUUACUAUUCAGUAGACAUUCUGUGUCGGAAUAUAUCCUUUUUAUUUUCUUCUUUAAUGUUCCGAUUCACUUAUUUACGUUAUUACGAAGGUAAAAUUUAUUAUCAACCAAUAAUCAAUCAUCGAACUUACGAUCCGAAAAUAAUCUCAACAACAUUAAGUGAUAUUCGCAUAGAGAAAAAAAAUCCAUGCUUCUUUCUUCCCCGUUAAAGAUUCUUAUACACAACCUGAACACAUAAGAAAAUAUGUAAAAGAUGUUUUUAAUAAUGAUCCCGACUCCUCGUACGCGCUGUUUUCGAUCCCAGCGAUAUAGGUAUAACGAGUUCAAAUGCUAUCGUGAUUUGUUUCGCAAAUUUGAUAAAUGUAUACGAACGCAAAGAGAUGUAGAACCGGAUAUAAAUACAUAAACGAGAAUGUUUCGGUGAGUAGUAGAGGGACUGGAAGAGGUAUAGAGGGGUAGUAUUACGGGGAAAAUAUCCCGCUAACGGUUUGACGAGAGCCACGGGGUACACAGGACGCGGUGGUAGAAGGGGAGAGUUGCGCAGGAUGGAUGUAAUUAAAGUGGUGACACGCUAGCCGUGGGGUAUGUCUACCCCAAUCCAAAUCCUGCGAAACCCCCGAAUCCCUGUCCCUCAAGAUAAUUCGGACACCGUGUAAUCGAUACGUCCUCCAGGCUGAUGUACAGGCAAUUUCAAAACGGAUAAUUCUCGGUCCAUUAUUUGGUACUCCCAUCGUAUCUCCACUAUAUAUAAAAUCUUCCCUCAUAUUUUCCCCUUGAAUGAAGAAAUGCUCCUAUAAGAUACUUCUUUUCUUGUCAUUUGUUAACGCUUUUUGGAUAAGUAAGUAAAAGCGACAAUUGUGUUACACAAUGGUCUACGAAAAAAAUCGAAUGUAAUAUCGUUGACAUUAACUUCGUCAGUAUUUUGACAGCUAAGGCUAACAAGUGACGAGUUUUGAGAAUCCAAUGUCAAAUUCUAUAUCAUAUGCUUACAGUCAAAUGCUAUAUCACAGCUUGGACUAACGCGUCCCAUUCUCCAUAGAUUCAGUUCUAAAGUCUACUUGUAUGUCUCAAAGUUUCAGAUUACGGUAUUACAAGUUUCGUGGGUGGGUGGAAAGUACUGCCUCAAAGUUGAAUCUCAUAGGUCAUCUUACCGCAAAAGCCAUAUCUACCAACCUUUGGUCGGUUGCAUACAAACUUCGAGAGGGCAUCAUUCGAUGUACACUUGAUCACAAUGGACAUAAUAAGACUCUGUUAAUCGAAAAUACAAAUAUAUUCUGGCAUAGAUAGUUCAUUAAUAGAAAAUUCAUUUUUGUACAUAUAUUAUAUGUAAGUUUUAAAAUAUUGAAUAUUAUCCAUUGUUUUUUUACGACAAAUUCUGAAGAGUUUCAUCAGAAACAUUAUAUAUUUAAUGAUCUCUUUCAACUCUCACCGUCUCAAAAUCUUCCUUAACAUCAUAUGUCAUCGUUUAUGUCAAUUGCCGAAACCAAUUUUACAAUGUAUUUUACGUAUCGUUUUCCUCCUUAGAUAGAGAAACGCUAAACCCAUAAAAUAAAUUGCCUCAACUUUAUGAUUAAUGAACAAUCAUAGUGAUUGUAUACUUUGAAAUUAUUGGGGCGCAAACUUUCCCUGAAAUUUGCUUGAAAUACCGUUUUCAAAUUAGAACAUCCACGUAAUUUUAUCGUCUCGCGUCAUAAACGACAGCUUCACCCAUAUGUAGAGAUGGAGCGUAUGGACAGCACUUCGCACCACAAGUGGACCUCUCUAAAAUCCCACCCUUUACCGCAACAUCAGCUUACUGUUUUUACUUUUCACGAUGGGAACUACUUGUUUCUAUCCCUUAUGUAACAGCAGUAUUUUGUAUCUUUUUAACACAUCGAAAUCGUUUUUAUUUUUUCUACCCAUUAUCCCAACUAUACAUGAAUUCCAAAUUGAAAUCUAUCGAUUAUGAUCAUUUACAACAGCAACAUCUACUCCCUCGAGUACGAAUCAUAAAAUUGCAUUGCAUUGGAGAUGUAUAUAGAAAGGACGAUAUGAGGUGAGGAGAAAAGGUAGAAUAAUUUAAGCCUAUCAACGAAAUCAAUCGAUUACCGACGAACAGCACAUGUUAAACCGCAAGGAUUCUCCAUGAUUACUGUCGGGCCAUCUGUUAAAACCGGUUACACCUAUCAUAAUAUGCUUUAUGCAAAUAUUGAUUCACUAUAUUACGCUCACGCGUACGAAGAUCCCAUAAAUUGUAAACAUCAUGACAAGCGCACAACAAUCACAUAAUAGUCUCUCGUUCAAUUCCUUUUUCUGUUUCUAUUACGAACUAACACGAUGAUAAACUAAACUUCCUCAAGAGAGGAACAAAAAUUGGGGAGUGGGAAGUAUAAAAGUAUAUAGUUUCAGUAGACUCUUCCCCUUCUGGCCGCUAAAUUCGUUUCCUUGACUUAUACGAAUUAAUUUCGAAGAGGAAACGAUUUAGCAGCUAUGAUAUCUUCCGACUACACUCCUGGGCUUCACGAAUCCAUCGAAGCUCCCUGGCGUACAGAUUAAUGACACUAAUCUUUUAAGCUUCAACGCUAACUGCGCAUCUCGCAAUUUCUUUGAUCGAUGCUAUAUUUUUAAGGACAACGCGAAGCACGACUAACUUACAGAAGUAAAGACGACGUUCGCGAGAUCCAGUUUAAUAUUGCACUCAGUAGAAGAAAGGUCAACGCUUUACCGCUGAUCUAAUAUAAUUGAAACGACAUUGGUACAUUCUAUUAAUGAAAGAAAAUAGAUCAUGGUGUGGUAUUUAACAAUUGUUAAGAAUAUAAAUUAAUUCGUAGCCUUACUUUCAUAAGUUUGUUUAUUUAUCAAAAUCUAAUGUACAUUUUAUUCUUAGAUGUAAGCGCGAUUUUACAAAUUUAUCUCAUAAGAUAAUUUCCGAAUUCCUUCUCUGAAAGAUUUUGAAUCAAGAAAUUCAAUAAAUGGUUUUUUCAAACUCUUUUUCUGUUUUGAGAUGAAUAUUGUUUAAAUGAUGUUGCAGUGACCGGAACAAAUAGUAAUCAGAAGGGGCUAAAUCCGGAGAGUAUACCGCGUGUGGGAAAAGUUUCCAUCCAAGGGAAUAUAUCAAAUCUGUUGUGGCUUUGACUACAUAUGACCGUGCAUUGUCCUGGAGCAAUAUCAUCUGCCUAAUUCCACUAUACUGGAGCGACAGACUCCUUCGUGAACUCUUCUGCCCCUCGUCGAAGAAACCAACGAGCUACGACGAAAGGGACUUCUUCGGUGAGCGGCUAUCGCUUUAAUUCGCCGUUUGAACGAUUUCAAGCGUAGCGUCGCAAAUGGCGAGCAAUUUGCCAGAACUAAUGGUAAUGACGAUCGCGUCUUUGACAAUUUUUUCUUCCUCUUUUAGCACUCUUGCUCUCCUUGUUUCCUUUUCUCUUUUUGCCUUUUUCCAGCGUCUCCGAAGUGCUUUGAUCGAAUUCACUAGCCUCUCUGGUGCCGAUAGGGCAGGCACUGGGCAUCCAUUAAAGAAGUUUAAGCUAUUCAAGCGAAUGACGAUGAAAUUGCGCGGGUAUCCACUCUGUCGUUCAGGCAGCGUUUAAUGGUUAAUGGAGUUCCAAAUCAAAUUAUUGGUAAUGAGUAAAGUUGCCGAGGGCGCCGCAGAGCGCGCACGCUAGUGAAGCGAAUACCGCCUGUAAAUUAUAUAAAGUGCGGGGCACUUGCAACGUGUCUUUCGCGAAAUUUGUCCCGCAAGUAUGCCAGCUGUUCGGAACUUUGACGCAACUCAACCGAGGAGAAUACCUCCUUUCGGGAAGAAGUCGUUCGGACUCGAUUUGACUUUCGUCCUCCUCCAUCUCUUUUAUUCCUUUCAUUCAAAGAGUAUUACAAGUCGAAUCAAUCAUAUUUUACAGUCAUGAAUAUUGAGAAUAAAUUGAUGAUCGAUUGCUAUAAAAGCGUCUAUUCAACGAUCAAUGUACAUGGAUGGAUAGUGUAGAUUGGCUUUCAUAAUAAAAACAAAACAGAAUAAGUUACUCCAAAAGAUUAAGUAUAUUUACUUUUUUCUUUUUUCUUUUUAAUGUCGUCGUUUCUGCGACUAUAAAGUUUUAUUCGGAGCUUACAUCUCACUUUCUCAAAAUAAAUCGUUGUAAGGAUUUUCCAGGCUGUUGACCAAGUACCAUAAGAGAAAAAGAAAGAUAGGUAGAGAGAAGUGGUUGCGUAAUUUCGUGCGUGUUUGUGAGAUUUCCAGGACACUGGUGUACGACACAGCAGAUUCGCUACCAGGAAUUGGCAAUUAACGUUGUCACCGGCGUAUAAUCGUAUCUCGAGAAGCGCGUAAUUUAUCGACUCAAACUCCUAAUUGGCUGCGUUGUACGUCACGUCGUUAGGGGGGUUGCGCACAACUAAUUCCUCCGGUCUAACUUCGACGCGACGCACUCGAGAGCUACCUACGUACGUACCCGAACUGGUAGCUUCAACCAUGGUGCGAACGUAUACCCCUUAGAGAGGCUAAUCCUUCCCACCCACCUCUUGCCUCCUAUUUCUCCUCAACCGGUAUAUAAACGGCUCGAGAGAGCACAAACUUCCUGUAUUGUCAUUUCCAGGCUAGUUGGUGACUCAUUUCGUUAAAACCUAUAAUCAUUGCCUUACAGAGAAAAAUAAUGAGGCAGCUUUCUUUAUUUUUUUACGAGAUAUUUAUGAAGGGAAUCAAUUUUUCAAGAGUACAAGCUAUUAAAGACGAAAACUACACUUGGUGCUCGUCAAAUCGGACGUAGAUUCGUGUGAAGACACGUGGCACUGGUACGGCGCGUAACCACUCUCGUAAAGCAAUCGCUUCAUGUCUCUUUCAUGAGGCAACGCCGUAAUAGGUUCGACGUGAGACAAAAGUGGAAAAGAACGGCACGUUUACAUCGACGUUGUUUACCCCCACCGUUAGCUCUCUCUAUUCUCUUUCCUUCCUUCCGACUCACUUCUUUCUGUACGUUCCAAGACGAAGAGGAACGAUGCUUGUCGUAGCUGUGGAAUAAAGUUCCACCGUUGUUUCUUCCGGGUGAGUACGCCGCGUCGUUAGAAAGACGUCCAACUGUCUGGAAGAAGACAACGACGAAGACGAAGACGACUGGAAGGAGGAGAAAGAAGCGGAAAUAGGAGAGAAGAGCGAUGACGAAAGAGAAAGACGAAGAAAAAGAAAAGAAGAGAAGGAGGAGGACGAUGGUAUGCAGUAUUCGCGCUUGAUGUCGUGGGGAUCGUGCUUACGAGUCUUCAACCACGUUUUGAUCAGCCCAAAGAAGAAAGCAGGACAACGAGAGUCGAAAGCAUGGCGAGGUGAGGUAAGGUGAAUCGAGGUGAAGCUGUGGAGCGAAUCGCCAUGGCAACGGCUUCGCCACGGAUUCCAUUUACCUAUCGCUAUGGAAACGUGGGAGGGGGGAGCAGGG